CGUGGGACAGGGGCGUCCGAAGGUGCCGGCUCGGAUGGGCUCGGCUCGGCCGCCGCCACACCGCCCGGGCCUCCCGGGCCUCCCCGGCCUCCCGCCCUCGCGCCCCUCGGGAGGCUGUAGUCCUGCCCCCGGCGCGGCCAGCCCGCGCUCCCGCACACCCCGCCCGCUCGCCCGCGCGUGUGUACGUGCGCCGGAGGCCUGGAGAGACCGGAGUUUAACGCCCAGUGUAAGCCGGAAAGGGAGGAAGGCUGUGCGAUGGGUGGGUGGGUGGUAGGUGGGUGGGUGGUCUAGUGAAUGGAUGGACAGAUGGACGGACGGAUGCACGGAUGAAUGGAUGGAUGGAGCCCCGUGCAAACCAAGGUUUCAUCACGUGCCUAACGACUCCGCUGAAAGUCCCAGGGAAGCAGAUGAUUUAUUAUUAUUAUUAUUAUUAUUAUUAUUAUUAUUAUUAUUAUUAUUAUUAUGCUUAAAUAACAGAGUAGAGAGAUAUUGAGACACCCUAGGAAUGAAGGAAAUGGCCAGGACCAAAUGAAUCAUUCAUCCCCGUUUGCCUGCGGUUUUCACAGCUUCUUCCUAAGUUGGAGAAAUGGGAAACGAUUUGAAAGCUGCCAACCGGAGGUGAAAAUCUUGCCACUUGUGAAACUGAAGGAACAUCCCCAAGGCCUGGCUUCUCCUUUUAACAGAAGGUGCUCAGAGGAACUUUCCUCUUGCCCACUGCCCUCAUCCUCUAGCAAUUUUCAAAGAGCUUCUGAGGUGCUGAUCCUCCUAGCUAUAGUCUUCGUACUGCUGCCACAAAUUCUUCUGUAAGGAUUAGAAUGACAUAAAGGAGACAGAUCACUUUUGUCUCGGUGGUAGUAAAGCAACCUGUGCCUCUGGCUUUCAGGGGGAAGGGCUGGGCCGCUGUAAAUCUAGUUUUCCUUCCUCUCCUGGGCCAGCUGUGGAGGAGAGGGAGGGAGAGAAGGAGAAGAUAAUCAAGAUCAGCUGUAAAUCUAGUUUUCCUUCCUCUACUGGGCCAGGUGUGGAGGAGAGGGAGGGACAGAAGGAGAAGAUAAUCAAGGUCAGCCUUUCCUGACCCCUUGGUCUAAGCAGACUAGACCUUAUUGGAGAUAACACUUCUACUCAAACAGGGGUCCAUGUGGACCAAUGUAUUACCCCAGCCCCAUGCAGGUCUUGUCAGGUUUCUCUCAAGGAACAAAUAUUUAUCUAACCUAGCCCCUGUUCCAAGUACUACAGGAGAAAUAUCAUUGUCCCAAACUACACACACUCUAGUCUGACCUGUCUCCCACUCCAACUCCCCACAUCUUUCCACUGUAGCCUCUGGAACUUAGAAUCUUCUUCAGCAAAAUUCUCUUCGUUUUCGACUUCUCGAAAUAUUUCUUUAACGUUUUUGCUCUCGCUGAAAUCUACUUAUCCCUCCUUUAACCCCUCUCUCUUCCCUCUUGUUCAGUCUGCUCCUGAGAAGUUGAUGUGACUUGCAUGACUUGGAUUAAUAAAUUUGCAAAUACAACUGGGUAUGCUCACUCAGUUUGACCAUUUUCCUCUUAAGAGAGAACCGCCUGAAGGAAGCAGUCUUCCUCCUCCUUUGCAUCUCUGGGUAAAGUUUCCAUCCUCAUAGGAAGCUGUACCCAAGCUCUAUAUAUAGAGAGCCUAUAUAUAUAUAUAGCUCUAUUUAUCAUAUAUAUAAUUGGCUCUAUUUAAUUUAUAUAUAUAAAUUAUACACACACAUAAACAUACAUAUAUAUAAUAUCUCUUGACACCCUUUCCACUUAUUGCCACCCUAUUUUCCUUCUUCCCUUUAUGCCAAAAUCUUUCCAUUCCAUGUUGAACCUGUUCCACUUUGGCAAAUGACCUCCAUGGUGCUAAGCUGAUGGUCAAUUCUCAAUUGUCAUAUGAAUUGACUUUUCAGCAUAAAUUAACCCGGACACCACUCUCUAUUAUUUCUCUUUCUGCAUUACUGGCUGCUUUUUCUCACUCUCAUUGCUUGUUCCUCUUUGUCUUUUUGACCCCCAAAUUCUGAAGCAUCUUGGAUCUUAGUCAUUAAGCCUCUUCUCCUCUCAAUUUACAUGCACUGUACCUAAAGUGACCCAAUUCAGGCUCAUACAUUUUAGUAUUUCAUUAUUAAACACUAAUAACUUCCAAGUGUAUAUUUUUAACCAGGAUCUAUCCCCUGAAAUCCAGUCUGUCAAAUGCUCACUUUACAUCUCCACUUGAAUAUCUAAUUAUGCCUGAUUCAGCUUGAAGAUAGCAAGGAUAUUGUCACUGCCUCAGAUCCUAGGCAUAGUAUAGUUGCUGGUGCAUAGUAGAUGCACAAUAAACAUACAUUAAUGAAAUGAAUGGAUGUAUCUAGUAACAGUAAUCUGAUAGGUUCUUUUGUAUUUUGCAAUUGUAUUUUUUUUUGAGAUGAAGUCUUGCUCUGUCACCCAGGCUGGAGGGCAGUGGUGCAGUCUCUGCUCACUGCAACCUCUGCCUCCCAGGUUCAAGUGAUUCUCCUGCCUCAGCCUCCUGAAUAGCUGGGAUUACAGGCACGUGCCACCAUGCCUGGCCAAUUUUUGUAUUUUUAGUAGAGAUGUUGGCCAGGCUGGUCUCGAACUCGUGAUCCCAGGUCAUUCGCCCACCUUGGCCUCCCAAAAUGCUGGGAUUACAGGCAUGAGCCACUGCAUCCAGCUAUGUAUUUUGUAAUGGAUUUUUUUGCAUUAUCUUAUUUAAUUCUUACUAAUGACCCUAUAGUUAUAAUAGUUAUCUCAUUUACAUCAAUACAACAAUGAGGAAGGAGAGGAUCAGAAAGGUUGGGUCAACUUCCCAAUACAACCAACAUAGCCAAGAAGUGGCAGUGGUGGUUUGUACUCUAUCGACUGCAUUAGCUGGAACAAUGUUUCUCAGGAUCCUCUUGCCCGUAUGCAUGUAAGUGUAUGCAUGUAAGUACGGUUGGCCCAAAGACGAAUUCUUGCAAGAUUUGGGAAACAGAGUGAAACAGUAUCUAUUCCUCUCUCAAGGUCUUUGUAGUUUGCUGUGACAACACAUGCAGACACCUGGAGGGUUCUAGCAUGUCCUGGCCCUCCCCCACUUCACACCCAGAUCUUCCAAAUUUCCAGCACAGCUGAUCAACAGUAGCCACACACCCAUCACAAGGGCCUUAACAUGGAUCCAAAGAGGCAGUAGCCAGGCAAAGACAAAAGCUUUUCACCGAGUAUUCUUCCAGCUUUCUUUCAGGGUCCCCCUCCUGGAUGUGGCAGGCCUCCCAGAUUCCCCUGGAAGUUCUGACUUGCCCAUACACACAAGGACCUCAGGAAACCCAAUAGUGACUUUCCUCAGAUCUGUGAAUUCCUUCUUCUGGAA
rnacentral:lncRNA from 10 species